CUGCAUAAUUGUAACGUUAAUUGCAAGAUUUGUAGCUAACACGUUGAUUAAAUCAUCCUUCAUACUUUAAGUAACGCAAAUCAAGGUUAAAAGUUUUCUGCUAAUUAAGUGCUAAUGCUCAAGAGGGAGAACGAACGGUUUACAUUUUAAUUUUAUACACUUGCAGAAAUUAACUAGAGGUAGCACGCAUCUCUUAAUCCUACGGAUGUAAAAAAGGGACAAACAAUCUAAGAAAGCAAUAUUCAUUUUUUGCCUUCCAAACACAAAUAUUAGCAGCAAAUAUUCAUAAUUUACAUAAACUUUUUGCUUCUGCUACUUCAAUAAUGAAAAACUUUCAAUUCCAUGCAAAACAAGUCAUUCUCUUCUUAGAAAUGUUGAUUCUCAAGAUUGCGCGUUAGAUCAGAUCAUUAGGUCAGCUAAUUCUGCUUAAUUCCACCUGCAAAUUAAAGCCACCAAUCUCAGUUCCCAUAUUUAAUUUGGAGCACAAUAAUUGUAUAAACAAAUCAAAUAGGCAAACACAAUUUGAAACUCACGAGUAAGGGUGGAGAGGUCGGAGCUUUUCAACACACGCAGCCUUUUCACAGUAGACACAAACAUGCUGAAAAUGUCACACGAUAUGAAAUUAGAACAAACCGAAUAAAACAACAGGAAUAAACAGAAACUUUGAAGACUAAUAAUAAUUGUGUACUGAAACCACUAACCAAAUGCCAUACUAGAAUUC
rnacentral:lncRNA from 1 species